AACGAACGCUGGCGGCAUGCCUAACACAUGCAAGUCGAACGAGACCUUCGGGUCUAGUGGCGCACGGGUGCGUAACGCGUGGGAACCUGCCCUUAGGUUCGGAAUAACUCCCCGAAAGGGGUGCUAAUACCGGAUAAUGUCUUCGGACCAAAGAUUUAUCGCCUUUUGAUGGGCCCGCGUUGGAUUAGCUAGUUGGUAGGGUAAAAGCCUACCAAGGCGACGAUCCAUAGCUGGUCUGAGAGGAUGAUCAGCCACACUGGGACUGGGACACGGCCCAGACUCCUACGGGAGGCAGCAGUGGGGAAUAUUGGACAAUGGGCGAAAGCCUGAUCCAGCAAUGCCGCGUGAGUGAUGAAGGCCUUAGGGUUGUAAAGCUCUUUUACCCGGGAUGAUAAUGACAGUACCGGGAGAAUAAGCUCCGGCUAACUCCGUG
rnacentral:rRNA from 1 species